AUUGAACGCUGGCGGCAGGCCUAACACAUGCAAGUCGAACGGUAACAGGAAGCAGCUUGCUGCUUUGCUGACGCGUGGCGGACGGGUGAGUAAUGUCUGGGAAACUGCCCGAUGGAGGGGGAUAACUACUGGAAACGGUAGCUAAUACCGCAUAACGUCGCAAGACCAAAGAGGGGGACCUUAGGGCCUCUUGCCAUCGGAUGUGCCCCGAUGGGAUUAGCUAGUAGGUGGGGUAACGGCUCACCUAGGCGACGAUCCCUAGCUGGUCUGAGAGGAUGACCAGCCACACUGGAACUGAGACACGGUCCAGACUCCUACGGGAGGCAGCAGUGGGGAAUAUUGGACAAUGGGCGCAAGCCUGAUGCAGCCAUGCCGCGUGUAUGAAGAAGGCCUUCGGGUUGUAAAGUACUUUCAGCGGGGAGGAAGAGAGUAAAGUUAAUACCUUUGCUCAUUGACGGUACCCGCAGAAGAAGCACCGGCUAACUCCGUG
rnacentral:rRNA from 1 species